rnacentral:rRNA from 1 species
GAUGAACGCUGGCGGCGUGCCUAAUACAUGCAAGUCGAGCGAACGGACGAGAAGCUUGCUUCUCUGAUGUUAGCGGCGGACGGGUGAGUAACACGUGGAUAACCUACCUAUAAGACUGGGAUAACUUCGGGAAACCGGAGCUAAUACCGGAUAAUAUUUUGAACCGCAUGGUUCAAAAGUGAAAGACGGUCUUGCUGUCACUUAUAGAUGGAUCCGCGCUGCAUUAGCUAGUUGGUAAGGUAACGGCUUACCAAGGCAACGAUGCAUAGCCGACCUGAGAGGGUGAUCGGCCACACUGGAACUGAGACACGGUCCAGACUCCUACGGGAGGCAGCAGUAGGGAAUCUUCCGCAAUGGGCGAAAGCCUGACGGAGCAACGCCGCGUGAGUGAUGAAGGUCUUCGGAUCGUAAAACUCUGUUAUUAGGGAAGAACAUAUGUGUAAGUAACUGUGCACAUCUUGACGGUACCUAACCAGAAAGCCACGGCUAACUACGUGCCAGCAGCCGCGGUAAUACGUAGGUGGCAAGCGUUAUCCGGAAUUAUUGGGCGUAAAGCGCGCGUAGGCGGUUUUUUAAGUCUGAUGUGAAAGCCCACGGCUCAACCGUGGAGGGUCAUUGGAAACUGGAAAACUUGAGUGCAGAAGAGGAAAGUGGAAUUCCAUGUGUAGCGGUGAAAUGCGCAGAGAUAUGGAGGAACACCAGUGGCGAAGGCGACUUUCUGGUCUGUAACUGACGCUGAUGUGCGAAAGCGUGGGGAUCAAACAGGAUUAGAUACCCUGGUAGUCCACGCCGUAAACGAUGAGUGCUAAGUGUUAGGGGGUUUCCGCCCCUUAGUGCUGCAGCUAACGCAUUAAGCACUCCGCCUGGGGAGUACGACCGCAAGGUUGAAACUCAAAGGAAUUGACGGGGACCCGCACAAGCGGUGGAGCAUGUGGUUUAAUUCGAAGCAACGCGAAGAACCUUACCAAAUCUUGACAUCCUUUGACAACUCUAGAGAUAGAGCCUUCCCCUUCGGGGGGGCAAAGUGACAGGUGGUGCAUGGUUGUCGUCAGCUCGUGUCGUGAGAUGUUGGGUUAAGUCCCGCAACGAGCGCAACCCUUAAGCUUAGUUGCCAUCAUUAAGUUGGGCACUCUAAGUUGACUGCCGGUGACAAACCGGAGGAAGGUGGGGAUGACGUCAAAUCAUCAUGCCCCUUAUGAUUUGGGCUACACACGUGCUACAAUGGACAAUACAAAGGGCAGCGAAACCGCGAGGUCAAGCAAAUCCCAUAAAGUUGUUCUCAGUUCGGAUUGUAGUCUGCAACUCGACUACAUGAAGCUGGAAUCGCUAGUAAUCGUAGAUCAGCAUGCUACGGUGAAUACGUUCCCGGGUCU